rnacentral:misc_RNA from 1 species
UAAUAAGUGUUUUAUGGCACUUUUUAAAUCCGUAUCCACCUUGUGUGCAAUGUCAGUCGAUCUUCUUCAUGGAGAUCGACCAAACAUCAACCUUUAUCUUUUAACUCUUUGUCUGAAAGAUAUUAUGAAUAAACAAUUCAAAAUA